rnacentral:sRNA from 1 species
UGUGUAUAUAGUUACUCUCUCUAUAUAUAUGUGUGUGUGUGAAGCUGGGCGCCGGCUAAUCAAGCGCUGCGGCGCACAAUAAAAUCGUCGAGCUAAGCAACUUUUUUCUUGAGUUUUUCCCUUUUGCUGCGGCGGCUGUCGCUCACUUUUUUCAUUGCCUGCCAUCAUUUUCCGCAUGUGUACAUGUGUGCAUGUGCGUGUGCGUGUGUGUGUGUGUGUCAAUGUGCGUGUGUGUGCGUAAGUCUGUCAUAUAGAAAGGAUAAAAUAUUUGCGCAUUGAUUUUCGACCAACGCAACUGUGACAGCAACAAAGUGGAUCAACAACAACAAGAACAACAACAACAACAAGAACAACAACAGCAACUUUAACAACAACAACAACAAGUUUUGGACAACCAUUUUACUGGGGGUCGCAAACGGAACCCAACGCCGAGUCUGAUUAAAGCGAUAAAGCUUUUACUUGCGAAGCACACAACAUUUAGAAGGUAAA